CAGGGUAAUGGAAGGGAUUUCCUAAUAGAGAAUGUAGAAAUAAAACAUUAGCACAGGAUAUCUUCCCCCUCUUUGAGUGGAACAAAAAUUAGGGUGAUAUAAAUAACAGCAACCUCCUAAAAAUUCCUGGUUGAAAAGACUGAAUGGUCUUGAUCAAAGCAGUAGAGAUAUUUUGGUGGGGGGAUUCUUUUUGAAACCCUUAAGACCAAAUAAAAUUGUAAGGUCUAGCAACUUGAAAGGUUUUUAAAUGAUUAAGAAAUGCUUAAUUUUCUACUCACCUUCUGUAUUGAAUCUCCAAAUCCAUGCUAACUUCAGAUGUGUCCUUUAUGGCUGCUGUCUCCUGCGGACGUCAGAUUCCAGUUUCUUCAGAUUUUCAAUGUGAACUCAUAGAAGCAGUUCUUGAGAGAGCUUCCAGGUCUUCAGUCUCAGCUGAAGCUCCAACCUUUCGUGCUGAAGUUUCCACCUUCUUGGAUUGAGCAGCUAAUGUGUCCCCUGGCUUUCCAGCAUGCAAAUUGCACUUAUGAACUACCCAACUUCUAAGCCUGUAAAUCUGUCUAAUAAAUUCCUUACCUAAUUAUCUAUAA